rnacentral:rRNA from 1 species
GGGGUUAAAAUUAAUAAUUUGGGGUUAAUAAAAGAAAUUUUAAUAUUAAAAAUAUGAUAAUGGGGGUUAAAGUAUUUUUAAUAGAAAAAAUUUGAAAUUUUAUAGUUUAAUAGUAUUGUAUAAGAAAUUUGAAAUAAUUUGAAAAUAAAAUUUUUUAAAAGUAAAUUUAAUUUAUUGUAUCUUGUGUAUCAGAGUUUAUUAAAUAAAUUUUAAUGAAAUUAAAUUUCUCGAAAUUAAAAGAGUUAAUUAAUUAUAAAAUUUAUUGUUUCAUAAAUAUUUUACAUAAUUAAUUAGAAAUGAAAUGUUAAUCGUUUUUAAAUAUAUCUAGUUUUUUAAGAAAAAAAUUUAAUUUUUAAUUAAAUUUAUAAAUUAAUUUAAUUUAGUUAAUUAAUUUAUGAAUUUAAUUUAAUAUUUUAGGGGAUAAGCUUUAAUUUAAAUUUUUAUAAUUAAUUUAAUUAGUGUGAAAAUUUUAUAAUUUAUAUUGUUAAUAAAAUUUAAUUUAUUAUAAAUAAUUUUAUUUAAAAUUAAAAAUUUAAAUUUAAAUUUAAUUUUUUAUUAAAAAAUAAUUUUAAAUUAAAUAAAUUUAGGUAUAAUGAUAAAAUUAGUAUAUAAAAAUAAAAUAAUUUUUUUUUUAUAAUAUGGGUAAUUAUUUAAAAGGAAUUCGACAAAUAAUUAUAUUUACCUGUUUAUCAAAAACAUGUCUUUUUGAAAAUAAUUUAAAGUCUAAUCUGCCCACUGAUUUAAAAUUGAAGGGCUGCAGUAUAUUGACUGUACAAAGGUAGCAUAAUCAAUAGUCUCUUAAUUAGUGACUUGAAUGAAAGAUUGGAUAAAAUAUAAAUUGUCUCUUAUAUAUAUAAUUGAAAUUAAUUUUUUAAUUAAAAAGUUAAAAUAAUUUAAAAAGACGAGAAGACCCUAUAGAGUUUUAUAUUUUUUAUAAUAAAAAUUAUAAAUUAAUUUAAUAAUUUAUAUUAAAGAAAAUAUUUUAUUGGGGUGAUAAAAAAAUUUAAUUAACUUUUUUAUAAAAAUUUACAUAAAUAAGUGAUUUGUUGAUCCAAUUAUAUUGAUUAUUAGAAAAAAUUACCUUAGGGAUAACAGCGUAAUUUUUUUUUUUAGUUCAAAUAAGAAAAAGAGUUUGCGACCUCGAUGUUGGAUUAAGAUAAAAUUUAAAUGCAAAAGUUUAAAAUUUUUGAUCUGUUCGAUCAUUAAAAUCUUACAUGAUCUGAGUUCAAACCGGUGUGAGCCAGGUUGGUUUCUAUCUUUUAAUAUUUUUAAUGUUUUAGUACGAAAGGACCAAAUAUUAUAAUUAAAUUAAUUUAUUUUGAAUAUUAUUAAAAUUAUAAAUAAAUUUAUAUUUUUUUUUA